rnacentral:rRNA from 1 species
GACGAACGCUGGCGGCGUGCUUAACACAUGCAAGUCGAACGGUAAGGCCCUUCGGGGUACACGAGUGGCGAACGGGUGAGUAACACGUGGGUGAUCUGCCCUGCACUUCGGGAUAAGCCUGGCAAACUGGGUCUAAUACCGGAUAGGACCACUGCCUGCAUGGGUGGUGGUGGAAAGCUUUUGCGGUGUGGGAUGGGCCCGCGGCCUAUCAGCUUGCUGGUGGGGUGAUGGCCUACCAAGGGGACGACGGGUAGCCGGCCUGAGAGGGUGACCGGCCACACUGGGACUGAGAUACGGCCCAGACUCCUACGGGAGGCAGCAGUGGGGAAUAUUGCACAAUGGGCGCAAGCCUGAUGCAGCGACGCCGCGUGAGGGAUGACGGCCUUCGGGUUGUAAACCUCUUUCAGCACCGACGAAGCGCAAGUGACGGUAGGUGCAGAAGAAGGACCGGCCAACUACGUGCCAGCAGCCGCCGUAA